rnacentral:rRNA from 1 species
GAUCAUGGCUCAGGAUGAACGCUAGCGGCAGGCUUAACACAUGCAAGUCGAGGGGCAGCAUAAUGGAUAGCAAUAUCUAUGGUGGCGACCGGCGCACGGGUGCGUAACGCGUAUGCAACCUACCUUUAACAGGGGGACAACACUGAGAAAUUGGUACUAAUACCCCAUAAUAUCAUAGAAGGUAUCUUUUAUGGUUGAAAAUUCCGAUGGUUAGAGAUGGGCAUGCGUUGUAUUAG